GUGGAUUAGAUACCCUGGUAUUCCACGCCGUAAACGAUGGAUACUAGCUGUUUGGUAGCAAUACUGAGUGGCUAAGCGAAAGUGAUAAGUAUCCCACCUGGGGAGUACGGGCGCAAGCCUGAAACUCAAAGGAAUUGACGGGGGCCCGCACAAGCGGUGGAGCAUGUGGUUUAAUUCGAUGAUACGCGAGGAACCUUACCAGGGCUUAAAUGUAGAGUGACAGGACUGGAAACAGUUUUUUCUUCGGACACUUUACAAGGUGCUGCACGGUCGUCGUCAACU
rnacentral:rRNA from 1 species